rnacentral:rRNA from 1 species
GCGAGCGGCGGAUGGGUGAGUAACACGUGGGGAACCUGCCCCUAAGUCUGGGAUACCAUUUGGAAACACGGCUGCUAAUACCGGAUAAUAAAGCAGAUCGCAUGAUCAGCUUUUGAAAGGCGGCGUAAGCUGUCGCUAAGGGAUGGCCCCGCGGUGCAUUAGCUAGUUGGUAAGGUAACGGCUUACCAAGGCGACGAUGCAUAGCCGAGUUGAGAGACUGAUCGGCCACAUUGGGACUGAGACACGGCCCAAACUCCUACGGGAGGCAGCAGUAGGGAAUCUUCCACAAUGGACGCAAGUCUGAUGGAGCAACGCCGCGUGAGUGAAGAAGGUUUUCGGAUCGUAAAGCUCUGUUGUUGGUGAAGAAGGAUAGAGGUAGUAACUGGCCUUUAUUUGACGGUAAUCAACCAGAAAGUCACGGCUAACUACGUGCCAGCAGCCGCGGUAAUACGUAGGUGGCAAGCGUUGUCCGGAUUUAUUGGGCGUAAAGCGAGCGCAGGCGGAAAAAUAAGUCUAAUGUGAAAGCCCUCGGCUUAACCGAGGAACUGCAUCGGAAACUGUUUUUCUUGAGUGCAGAAGAGGAGAGUGGAACUCCAUGUGUAGCGGUGGAAUGCGUAGAUAUAUGGAAGAACACCAGUGGCGAAAGGCGGCCUCUCUGGUCUGCAACUGACGC